rnacentral:lncRNA from 1 species
GCCUGGAAUCAUUUUUCAUUGCUUAAAUAUCUGUGUUAGGAAAUAACAUCAAAUGCAAAUCAAUACACAGCAUCCCUCCCUUCCUCUGGGUGAGGUUCACGUAUCCUGCCUUAGGAGAAGAAUCGAGAAUUCACAGUUCAAAGUCUUAUGGGAAGAAAGAUUGUAGAACCAUGAUCUGGGAGCCUUUAUAUCAUUAGAUCUGAUAAAAUAAGGGGGGUAAGCAAACCAUACAUGUGUACGAGUGUACAUACACUAAAUAAGCCUUAGAUCACAGCAGCAAACGCUGUCCUGUGAAUGUCCACCGAGGCUCCAACGCCUACAGGAAACUUGCAGGACCUCUCUCUCCACCAUCCCAGAGACUCAGAAAUCUGCUGGUCUCCGGGCAGAAUGCACAGGAGGCAGAGUGGCUCCUCAGCCGAGUGCGUCUGGCCUCACUCUCUGUUCCAGCAGCUUCUCCAGCUUCCUUCUCAAACAACACAGAGCCACGGCUCUGAGGCCUGACUGCUCUUCCUUUCCUUCCUGAAAGCGUUCAUGGCUACAGCGCUGGCUCCUCGGCCACCCACUGGUUUUGCCUCCUGUGUCUGCUCCCAAUAUCACUUUCCCUCUAAAACUACUACAAGGGGAAAAACUAGAAAUCUAUGGAUAUUAAAACCCAAAUUCUGGGCAAGGCAUUGCCUAAAACUCUGGGGGCAGGUGAAUUAAAAGGAGAUAGAAAUAAGCCCAACCUGCAGCUGGGCAGGGUCCCUGUAGCUGCUGCGUAUCUCCUGCCAGUCACAACCACAGUGAAGAAGGGUCAACGCCACUAUUCACAAAUGUGAAGCUUCCCGGCAUGCCCCCCACCUGGCGUCUCGGCUCCCACGCCACCGCCUGUGGGCAGCUUUUCUGGCCGGGUCCUCCCACUGGCCCCUACACGCCAUAGCCCACAGGCAGCCUUUCUGGCCAGGCCUUCCCACUGCGCCUCCGCUCCAGUAAGUCCACCACCACUCGCCCUCUCCCGGGCUGGGGUCUUCGCCCAGGUCUCCUGGCACCUAGGACUGGACCUCGCUUAUGCAGAGAACAUUUCAUAAAAAGAUGGUGGCUGACUCCUUCUGAGACUUCAGCUCUCCAACAGCAACUCAUCCAAUGCCUACACAAAGAGCUGGCAGCCACCCUGAACAACGGGCUGGUCGGAACGUCCUCCCUUCCUAAAGGCAAGGCUGGAACAUGGUUGCAAUUUGGGUAAGUGGUUCAGUGAAGAAAGGGUGUUUUUAUACAUCAAUAUUUUAAAAUGAAAUACUCACCACCCCAGGAUAUCCUUUAUAUGACCAUCAUGUACUACAAAACAUUUGUAUGCAAAUACUUUUUAUGCAAAAUGAUUUUGUCUCCAUAGCCGGAUUAUCACCUGACUAUGGACAGAAAUGAUCUCAGUACCAUCCGUAAUUGCUUGACAAAUA